UCGAACGGCAGCACGGACUUCGGUCUGGUGGCGAGUGGCGAACGGGUGAGUAAUAUAUCGGAACGUGCCCAGUAGCGGGGGAUAACUACGCGAAAGCGUAGCUAAUACCGCAUACGCCCCACGGGGGAAAGCAGGGGAUCGCAAGACCUUGCACUAUUGGAGCGGCCGAUAUCGGAUUAGCUAGUUGGUGAGGUAAUGGCUCACCAAGGCGACGAUCCGUAGCUGGUUUGAGAGGACGACCAGCCACACUGGGACUGAGACACGGCCCAGACUCC
rnacentral:rRNA from 1 species